rnacentral:rRNA from 1 species
UACGUAGGGUGCAAGCGUUGUCCGGAAUUAUUGGGCGUAAAGAGCUCGUAGGCGGUUUGUCGCGUCUGCUGUGAGAACCCGAGGCUCAACCUCGGGCCUGCAGUGGGUACGGGCACACUUGAGUGCGGUAGGGGAGACUGGAAUUCCUGGUGUAGCAGUGAAAUGCGCAGAUAUCAGGAAGAACACCGGUGGCGAAGGCGGAUCUCUGGGCCAUUACUGACGCUGAGGAGCGAAAGCGUGGGGAGCGAACAGG